CCACCCACCCUUAUAAACUCCCAACUCUCUUUGGAGCUGCUGCGUUUUUCUUUUACUACUUUUUGCUGGGUUGCUUGUUCUCCCUACUGGCCGGGCUAAUUUUAUUGGGAGGACUCUUGGCGAAGAAGAAAUAAACCGCUUCUCUCCUCCAACUGCUUGAGUCCUUUGUUCCUUUGUUCCUCCUCGCUGCUGACUCUGGCAUUGCUGAUACUGCUUCCUCCUGAUCUUCUGGACCCAGAUCGAUCACCCGGCCCCAGCCCCUGGCCUCCAGAAAUCCUCCUCCUGAUCUCCAGCUCCAAUCCUAAAUCGGCCUCCAUCCCGACCCUGAUCGCUGUUGCUGCCUCUGCUGGGCUGAUUGCUGCCACCGAGAAGCUAGAAGUCUGGAGUCGCUCCUCAGGGCACAUGGAUCAUGAUGGUCAGGUUUGAAGAGGAAAUGGAGCUCAUUUUUGGUGAGAAAUCUUUGUAUUCUACAUUUCCUUACCUGACAGAGUGUCAAUGACUGUAAGCUAUAUAUUUUUGGUUUUUAAAACUUUUAUUAUUGUUUUUGCUUGCAUGUGCAAUAUACUAUUUCAGUUUUAUUUUUUCUCUCCAUUUUGUAUUUGAAGCACGUCACCAGCAUUGAGAAGAUUUUCUUUAACUUUUUUUUGAUUGUGCAGUAAUAUAAGUUUAAAAUAUAUUUGCUAUAAUGUCAAUGCAUGCCUCAAAAUCUUGAGACUAUAAAAAUUAUGCCACUGAUUGUUUAAAAAAGAAUUAUGGGACUUUGCUUAAUGAUUCUGUCAGAUUCCAGGACAAGAGAAUGCAAAAAGAGCCAUUGCACAGUGCCAAAGAAGCACAAAGCUAAACUGCAUAGUGCCUAUUGAGCACAAGGUCAAAGAGACCAACCAAUGCCAAUGGGAUUCAUGAACAUUUUGAGCCAAGACAAGAGGACCUGAACUUGUUUGGGGUUCAAGGUUGUGGUUAUUUAACAUGUGUUAAACACAAGUCUUCCUUGUCCCACAUUCUACCAAGUAUCUCAAAUUUGGCUCCUAUAAUCUAGUCCCCUUUCUGUCUUUCAUGGUGUGGCAAACUUUCUAUAGUCCUGGCUACUGAUUGGGUAAAUGCAUAAUUGCUUAAAUCACCUUAAUUGAGCCCUGAUUCAAGAAUGUGUUAUGGAUUUGUUUUUCCUUUACUUAGAAUUUUUACACAUAAGACUUUGAUAGUCUAUAUUUCAUCCAGAACUUAUUUUUUAUUUGGAUUUUUAAAAAUAUUUUUUAUUUCUCUUGCCAAUUGAUUCAUAUACCUCGUAACUCAGCCAUGCAUCCCUAAAUGAUCCCUGUGUUUUUCAACACCCUCUUGGGGUGGGGGGGAUUGUAAUAUUAUUAUUUUAAAUUGCAAAUUUUAAAUUCUUUUUGGGAGUAAUUUUAGAUUAAGAAACAUGCUACCUCUCCAAAUCCAGAAAAUGAACUCUUCUUAGAAGGCACCAUGAAGAUGCCUCCACAGACCAUAAGCUACAUCAAGAAGAUCCAGGAUGAACUUUGGGUGUGGUUGAUUGAACUGAAGGUUGAUUGAACAUUUAAUUUGAAUGUAUACUUUUAUGCCAAAAGGGGACUGCCCCCUAACUGGCUUUUUGUCAAUGCACCUAGCAAUUAUUGGUUUUGUUCUCUU